rnacentral:rRNA from 1 species
GAUGAACGCUAGCUACAGGCCUAACACAUGCAAGUCGAGGGGCAGCAUUAUUUGUAGCAAUACAGAUAGAUGGCGACCGGCGCACGGGUGAGUAACGCGUAUCCUACCUUCCCCUGUCUCGGGUAUAGCCUUCCGAAAGGGAGAUUAAUCCCCGAUGGCGUCAAGAGGCCGCAUGGCAUCCUGACUAAAGCGUUUGCGGACAGGGCUGGGGGUGCGUCCCAUUAGGUAGUUGGUGAGGUAACGGCUCACCAAGCCGACGAUGGGUAGCUGGUCUGAGAGGAUGGUCAGCCACACUGGGACUGAGACACUGCCCAGACUCCUACGGGAGGCUGCAGUCGAGAAUCUUGGGCAAUGCGCGAAAGCGUGACCCAGCAAUGCCGCGUGUGUGAUGAAGGCCUUCGGGUCGUAAAACACUGUCUCCCGUGACGACCAAUGACGGUAGCGGGGAAGGAAGCCACGGCUAACUACGUGCCAGCAGCCGCGGUAAUACGUAGGUGGCGAGCGUUGUUCGGAUUUAUUGGGCGUAAAGGGUCUGUAGGAGGUUCGUUAAAUACGGGGUGAAAUCCCGAAGCUCAACUUCGGAACUGCCCUGUAGACUGAUGGACUAGAGUACCGGAGAGGUAAGCGGAAUACCAGGUGUAGCGGUGGAAUGCGUAGAUAUCUGGUAGAACACCAAGAGCGAAGGCAGCUUGCUGGACGGAAACUGACUCUGAAAGACGAAAGCAUGGGGAGCAAACAGGAUUAGAUACCCUGGUAGUCCAUGCCGUAAACGUUGUCAACUUGAUGUGGGGGGAUUUAGUCCUCUCCGUAUCGAAGCCAACGCGAUAAGUUGACCGCCUGGGGACUACGGCCGCAAGGCUAAAACUCAAAGGAAUUGACGGGGGCCCGCACAAGCGGUGGAGCAUGUGGCUUAAUUCGAGGCAACGCGAAGAACCUUACCUGGUCUUGAAAUAUAUCGGACUGCCUGUGAAAGCAGGUUUCCCUUCGGGGCUGAUAUACAGGUGCUGCAUGGCUGUCGUCAGCUCGUGCCGUGAGGUGUUCGGUUAAGUCCGGCAACGAGCGCAACCCGUGUCACCAGUUGCCAGCAAGUAAAGUUGGGGACUCUGGUGAGACUGCCUGUGUUAAGCAGGAGGAAGGCGCGGAUGAUGUCAAGUCAGUAUGGCCCUUACGACCAGGGCUGCACACGUGCUACAAUGGGGGGUACAAUGGGAAGCAAUGCUGCGAGGCGGAGCAAAUCCACAAAACCUCUCUUAGUUCAGAUUGCAGUCUGCAACUCGACUGCAUGAAGUUGGAAUCGCUAGUAAAGGCGUAUCAGCUACGACGCCUUGAAUACGUUCCCGGGCCUUGUACACACCGCCCGUCACAUCAUGGGAGUUGAUUGCACCCGAAAUCGGUGAUCCAACCUGCAAAGGAGGAAGCCGCCUAAGGUGUGGUCGAUGACUGGGAUGA